rnacentral:rRNA from 1 species
UCAGGACGAACGCUGGCGGCGUGCCUAAUACAUGCAAGUCGAACGGCUUUUCUAUGGAAGCUUGCUUCCACUGAGAAGAUAGUGGCGAACGGGUGAGUAACACGUGGGUAACCUGCCCAUAAGAGGGGGGAUAACAUCCGGAAACGGGUGCUAAUACCGCAUAGUUUUCUUGAUCGCAUGAUUGAGAAAGGAAAGACGGCCUUUGUGCUGUCGCUUAUGGAUGGACCCGCGGCGUAUUAGUUAGUUGGUGAGGUAACGGCUCACCAAGACGAUGAUACGUAGCCGACCUGAGAGGGUGAUCGGCCACAUUGGGACUGAGACACGGCCCAAACUCCUACGGGAGGCAGCAGUAGGGAAUCUUCCGCAAUGGACGAAAGUCUGACGGAGCAACGCCGCGUGAGUGAAGAAAAGGUUUUCGGAUCGUAAAACUCUGUUGUCAGAGAAGAACAAGUUGGAGAGUAACUGCUCCAGCCUUGACGGUAUCUGACCAGAAAGCCACGGCUAACUACGUGCCAGCCGCCGC